GAUGAACGCUAGCGGCAGGCUUAACACAUGCAAGUCGAGGGGCAGCACGGGUAGCAAUAUCUGGUGGCGACCGGCGCAAGGGUGCGUAACGCGUGAGCAACAUGCCCGUAUCAGGGGGAUAAUCCAGGGAAACUUGGUCUAAUACCCCAUAGCAAUUAUUUGAGGCAUCUUAAAUAAUUUAAAGCUUUGGUGGAUACGGAUUGGCUCGCGUGACAUUAGCUAGAUGGUAAGGUAACGGCUUACCAUGGCUACGAUGUCUAGGGGUUCUGAGAGGAAGAUCCCCCACACUGGAACUGAGACACGGUCCAGACUCCUACGGGAGGCAGCAGUGAGGAAUAUUGGACAAUGGAUGGAAAUCUGAUCCAGCCAUGCCGCGUGCAGGAAGACGGCCCUAUGGGUUGUAAACUGCUUUUGUAUGGGAGCAAUAAGGUCUAUGCGUAGACUGAUGAGAGUACCAUACGAAUAAGCAUCGGCUAA
rnacentral:rRNA from 1 species